AUUGAACGCUGGCGGCAGGCCUAACACAUGCAAGUCGAGCGAGCGGCGGACGGGAGAGUAAUGUAUGGGGCUCUGACUGAUAGAGGGGGAUAACUAAUGGAAACGGUGGCUACAACCGCCUACUAUCGGAUGGGUCCAGUUGGGUUUAGCUAGUGGGUGGGGUAAAGGAUCACCUAGGCGACGAUCUGUAGCUGGUCUGAGAGGAUGAUCAGCCACACUGGGACUGAGACACGGCCCAGACUCCUACGGGAGGCAGCAGUGGGGAAUAUUGCACAAUGGGCGCAAGCCUGAUGCAGCCAUGCCGCGUGUAUGAAGAAGGUCUUAGGAUUGUAAAGUACUUUCAGCGGGGAGGCGUUACCCACAGAAUAAGCACCGGCUAACUCCGUGCCAGCAGCCGCGGUAAUAC
rnacentral:rRNA from 1 species